AAUCAACGCUGGCGGCGUGCCUCAGACAUGCAAGUCGAACGAUUAAGACUUCCUUCGGGAAGUGCAUAAAGUGGCGCACGGGUGAGUAACACGUAAGUAAUCUACCCUCGAGUGGGGAAUAACGUUCGGAAACGGACGCUAAUACAGCAUAAUGCAGCGGCAUCGCAAGAUGACAGUUGUUAAAGGAGUAAUUCGCUUGAGGAGGAGCUUGCGGCAGAUUAGCUAGUUGGUAAGGUAACGGCUUACCAAGGCUACGAUCUGUAUCCGGUCUAAGAGGACGGUCGGACACACUGACACUGAAUAGCGGGUCAGACUCCUACGGGAGGCAGCAGUCGGGAAUUUUGGGCAAUGGGCGAAAGGAUGACCCAGCAACGCCGCGUGAAGGAUGAAGUAUUUCGGUAUGUAAACUUCGAAAGAAUGGGAAGAAUAAAUGACGGUACCAUUUAUAAGCUCCGGCUAACUACGUGCCAGCCGCCGCGGUAAUAC
rnacentral:rRNA from 1 species